GAUGAACGCUAGCUACAGGCUUAACACAUGCAAGUCGAGGGGCAGCAUGAACAAAGCUUGCUUUGUUUGAUGGCGACCGGCGCACGGGUGCGUAACACGUAUCCAAUCUGCCCGCGGCUCGGGGAUAGCCCAUCGAAAGAUGGAUUAAUACCCGAUGGCGUGGUUUCUCCGCAUGGAGUUUCCACUAAAGGUUUUCCGGCCGCGGAUGAGGAUGCGUAUGAUUAGGUAGUAGGCAGGGUAACGGCCCACCUAGCCUUCGAUCAUUAGGGGUUCUGAGAGGAAGGUCCCCCACACUGGAACUGAGACACGGUCCAGACUCCUACGGGAGGCAGCAGUGAGGAAUAUUGGUCAAUGGGCGAGAGCCUGAACCAGCCAAGUAGCGUGAAGGAAGACUGCCCUAUGGGUUGUAAACUUCUUUUGUUCGGGAAUAAAGUGCAGUACGCGUACUGUUUUGUAUGUACCGUUCGAAUAAGCAUCGGCUAAUUCCGUGCCAGCCGCCGCCGUAAUAC
rnacentral:rRNA from 1 species